rnacentral:antisense_RNA from 1 species
CUGCAGGAAGAAAGACCAGGAAGGGUCGUGACUGCUUGCGCACGGCUGCAGGCGUUCUGCCGGGCAAGAACCUCCCGGUGCGCCCGGAGCUGCUCCAAGUUGAGAGUGGCGCAUAACAUGGGGCUGGAGUUGAGGCUUGAAGGGCCAAGGAGUGCCAACUUACCCUGGGUUGUAGAAAAGGAAGAAGAAUCAGCAGAGACCAUUUGUGGCUAGCAAAGCUUAAAAUAUUUCCUAACCGAUCCUUUGCAAAAAAAGUUUGCCCACUCCUGUAGUUAGCAUCUCCCCUACUGUGUGCAGUCUAUGUACCAUCUCAGACUAGCAAAGAUUUGUGCUUGGAUAAUCUACACUUCCCUGUAUAUUGAAGAAGAUAUGCUAUCCAUGCAAUCCUUCUGGACUGCUUGAUUAAAAAGUGGAUAAACUGUCUUCAGGCCCUUGGAGUAUGGUGCCUGUGUGAAGAGGGGAAUGAGGCAGAAGUAGCAGUCAGUGGUGGCUGAAGUAGGAGAAAGUGCUUGCUAAUGAAAUCUUGAUUUUUCUGUGGCUUUUCUGUGCAAUUGGGUGGCUAAGUAGGAAAGCCAUUGGAACUUCACUGUAUCAAUUCUGCCUUUCUUGUUUUUUGGAACUCCAAUUCACCAAGGCUCCCUGCCACCCUAUCCAUCUAUAACUUUUCAUCACUUUUUCCUCAAAGUAAAAAGUGUGUCCCAGAAAAUGUGCCUUUGUGACUCAGCAACAUUUCAAAUCCGUCUGAGCCUUCCCAGCGUUCCAAAAGAAAUACUGAUUUGAAUUCAGCUGCUUAAAAAACCAGCCUCUAAGCAGGCAGCUUGAAACUUCCUUACUGCAAUAGUUUAGGCUUUGGAGGGGAAAUUGGUUUGUUUUUAAUUGUUUUAAUUUUUCAGUUAAUUCAUUUGCCACCUGAUUAUAUAUGAUCUUUUGAGCCCAAUACUCUGCUAAAUUAACCUUGACUUUCUUUCUCUCUUUCUCUCUCUCUCUUUCUCUCUUUCUUCCUUUCUUUCUUGCUUUUUGACAGAGCCUUGCUCUGUUGCCCAGGCUGGAAUACAGUGGCACAAUCUCAGCUCACUGCAAACUCCGCCUCCAAAGUUCAAGCAAUUCUCCUGCCUCAGCCUCCUGAGUAGCUGGGAUUAUUACAUGCGCCCGCCACCACGCCCGGCUAAUUUUUGUAUUUUUAGUAAAGAUGGAAUUUCGCCCUCUUGGCCAAGCUGGUCUCGAACUCCUGACCUCAACCUUGGCCUCUCACAGUGCUGAGAUUACAAGCAUGAGCCACCAUGCCUGGCCUUACCUUGACUUUUUUUUUUUUUGAGACAGUCUCACUCUGUUACUCAGGCUGGAGUGUAGUGGCUUGAUCUUGGCUCACUGCAACCUCCAUCUCCCGGGUUCAAGAGAUUCUCCUGCCUUAGCCUCCCAAGUAGCUGGGACUACAGGUGUGGGCCACCACGCCUAGCUAAUUUUUUGUAUGUUUAUUAGAGAUGGGGUUUCACCAUGUUGGGCAGGCUGGUCUUAAACUCCUGACCUCAGGUGAUUCACCUGCCUCGGCCUCCCAAAAUGCUGGGAUUACAGGCGUGAGCCACCACACCCGGCCCCUACCUUUGAUUUUUAAGUCAAGAGGGAACAAGUCGAAAUUUCUAUUCAGUUAAACUAUAUACCUUUGGACACUGAAUCACUUUUAGAACCACAGUAAAAAUCAUGUAUGAAUGACCCACAAUUUCACUCCAACAGGAAGGUGUGUAUAUGUGCACAAAAACAUUAGAUUGUUCACACCAGUGCUAUUCCUAAUAGUCAAAAACUGGAAACAACUCAAAUAUCCAUCAACUGUAGAAUGGAUAAAUAAAUCAUGAUAUAUUCAUACCAUGGAACAUAACAGUGACAAUAAAUGAACCACUGCUACACACAACAGAUAUGAAUUUCACAAACAGAAUGCUGAGCAACAGAAGCCAAACACAGAAGGAUACACAUUUAUGAAUCCAUUUGUAUGAAGUUCAUAAACAGACAAAAUUAGUCAGUGGAGAUCAUUCUCAUAGAAGUCUGAAGAGUAGUUGUCUUUAGGGAGGGGGAUAUAGUGACUGAAGUGGGUAUAAGGGGUUUCUGGGGUUUGGUGAUGGUACACCAGCAUAUUCACUUUGAAAAUUCAUUGAGCUGUGCAAUAAUGAUUUUUCAAACUUUUAUAUGUGUAUGAUAUGCUUCAAUAAAGCUUUGCUUAAAAAG